UCAGAUGCAGGCGAUGAAGUCCACCUCCAUCCGCUGACGAGGCCGAUGACUUCUACACCUCG
rnacentral:ncRNA from 2 species